AGAGCGUGGCACCAAUUUCUGUCGCUCUUGCGCUUCCUUUGCUGGAAGGUCACCGAAGCAUGCGCGCUGGAGAGCGCCGUCGCGGCAUCUCCUUCCGAUCCCCCUUUCCCUUCCCACCAGCCCACCCAAACAAGGAGCAUAUACACAUCACUCCCACACGCUGCUGUCGCGAUCGCUCCACACCUCUCCCCAUUGCUUUCCGCUCGCGCGUGUGUGUGUAGCACGGACAUACACGAAGGAAAAAAAAAGACACGCUCACAUUCCGCGUCCAUAAACGUACAUAGAGGGGGCCAGGGUCACACAUAUACGCAUCAAGACAUCAGCGUGCACCGGAUAGAGGUCCUUUGUUCCUCUUUAUUCGUCCGUUUUCGUUUUACGGGUUGCUCUUUCUCUGCCGAGUCCACGGCUGAUCAGAGAGCACGUGGGCGAUACGCAUAGACACACACGGAAGCGCACACAUAGAGGCAUAUAGAGAGGCGCUCUCGAGCACGUCCGAUCCGCGUUGCCUCUUUCAAGGUGUGCUGUUAGGAGGCAUAAAGCGAGGGAGAGAGGAAGGGGUUGACAGCGUCGCCAUGUCGUGGGUUCGCGUCGAGUGCAGCGGUGGCUAUUGCUACGCGGCUCCUUCUCACGGCCGGUGCGUCCCAAAGCUGGAUGGAAUGGCGCGGCUCUUUCAGGCCCCAUUUUGCCUUCGGCAGCUACACGCCUUCACCACACUGAGCGACAAUGCCCCUGCCAUCUCCGGCUGGAACAACAGCGACUCGUGUGGUGUUCUUGGCACGGAUGAGAGCGUGAACGCAUGCAUCAUCGUUGAUCAACGCAACUUGGGAGGCCACCUGGGCCUUACGACGGUUGCUGUCGGUGACGAGGAGGACGCCGGGCUGUCGGACUCGCCGCCGCUGCGGCUGCUGCUCAACCGUGUGUUUGCAGUGCUCUGCAGCACGAGCGAGCGCGGCGUGCAAGUUUUGUUGGACGCACUCUGCACCCGCGCACCGCCGCCGCUGACGGCAGUCGCGAGUGCUGAGGCCGCUAUCGUGCAUGAGGAUGAUGGCGGGCCACGCGUGCCACCUGCGCUGUGGCUCGCACGCACUCAAGAAGCAGGCAGCACUCCGCAGAACACCUCCGGCAGCGUCGUCACCUCGUCCAAUCGACAGUUCCUGGCCAAGCUUAUGCAGGGCUGCUCUACCGUCGAGGAUGUGACCGGGGCUGCGGAAAAACUGUCGCUGCAGCCACUCCCUUCGGAUGUGGCGGCCACGACAAAGCCGAACCACGCGGCACGCGCACUCCCACAAGUGACAUCCGGCACUGCAAGCACGCCGCCUGCGCAUCCGUCCACCGCCUUCUCCGAAUUUCACGAGUCGGCAUCGCUGGUGAUUCGACCUCCCUUGAGCUACGCCGCUGCGCUGCGCCGCCGCUCGCUGCUUUUCUUUCUACCGCAAGGUGUUGUGCCACUGAGCGUGCUGGCGAUCCACCUUCAGCUCUCUUCGCGGCCAGUGAAGUGCCAGCAGAAGGAAGCCGUAUCUGCACCCUGCGGUGGUGGGGUCGUUAACGCUCAAAGGGCUGCACUGACUUCAACAGGAGGCGCUUCUACCGCCACUGGCGGCUUUACAAGAUCGCUUCAUGCCAUUCUUCUCGAAGAACUAGAGCACGUGCGCGUCGGCGCCGCGCGAGCAGGAGAGGGCCACGAGCGCAACUGUGCCUCUUGCGCGUCCGCGCAGGGGUGUUGCUGUGCGAUGCGGGUGCACUGCAUUUCGCACUUGCGACGGCAGAGUGACAAGCUGCUCAAAAAAAGCUCCAGCUGGGCCGCCGUUGCACGCACGGCCGAGGAGAGCGGCAGGGUGCUGGUGUGGGCGAUUGCGCGGUUGCUUGCGGGCAGCGAGAGGCCGAUGCGCACGAGCCAAGCCACGGACCUGGGGCGCCUCCUCUUGCAUGAUCUGUGGGCUAGUGAGCACUCGACCGGCGGCGAGGGAGGGAGCGCAACCGCCACUAAAGGUCGCGCGGCGUCAACAGCGUGGGCGGGCGCGACGCCUCUCGUGGCUGUUUACUCGCCAUCGGGCCUGCUGUUUGCCUCUGCCAAGUUCUCGAUGCUUCUCAGCCACGAGGAGCAGGUGUUGCUGUCGGCUGCUGCGAUCGACCGUUUGGCUCGCUACGCGGCACCUCGCUCGUUGUUCAGGCCUCACGCAAGCGCGGCAGCCGCCGAUGCGCUCAGCUGGACAUCCUGGCCAAUGCGCAUGGGUGAAGCCGCGGGCAAGCCUUCCGCUGCGGUGGUAAUGGACGUGCUGCUCAUCACUGUUGGCGACGCCUUGGCCUUUUGUCUGGCCUUUCCACGUACGCCGUCUUCGGCAUCCGUGCCACCGUUGUCGUCGUUGCGGUCGGUGCAGUCGCUUCUGGAGUCCACCGUGUCAAAGGCGCGCUCCCGUGUCGAGGUGCCUUCGACAGGGACGACCGCACCACUAGCCUCCGCUUUGGUGUUUGCAUGUACGCACAGCACUGCUCCUUACACGCCAACCUUCCACGAUGCCCUUUUCGCAGUGACAGCACUCGAGGACGCUCUGGACGCGGCGAAGAAGACGUCGCCAGCCGUGUCAGCCGACUCGGCGGCUGGUGAGCAGGUGGGCGUCGCACAAUACUUGCAUCAGCUGCUUUGGCGAGAGAUGUUCCACAUGCAGACGCCAAUUGAAGAAGGCGUCGGUGCCACAGCGGGGGACGCACCAGCUCCCUCUACUCGCGCGGGAUCGGCACCGCGCCAAGCGAACGUGAGCGCCGCGGUGGCCGCGAGCAGCUUCAGGAACAGCACUGGCGGGGAUGGACGCCAUCCGCACAGCGUGUCAAGUGCGCUUCACAAGGUCUUCUCGUGCCUUCCGCUGCGCCACAACGACCCGAGUAAAGGCGUCGCCUCGAGGCAACUGUACAUCACCGAAGCGCAGCAGCAGUCCAGCACCUACGUGAAUCAGUCGAGCAAAGGGGGGCAUCUGUCGUCGCUGGUACCGCUACUGAAUGCGUAUUGGACGCAGUGCAGCAACCCAUACACCGCCUUUCUGCUGGCCAUGCCGCUGGAGGAGAUGCUGUGCUACAUCGCUGCCCUCGUCACCCGCAAUGAGCUAGGCACGCUGCGGCCCAGCUAUGAACUGGGGCUGCACUCGUUCUUCUUUCUACAACGGCCUGUUGCGACUGCAGCAGCCAAGCACCGACACGCUGCACCCGCGAAGGCGUCGGGGUCGCGAGCGUGCAAGAAGACGAGUGCUGACGCGCAGCUGCGAGCACCGCCGACGCGGUUCGGCGUCUCGUUCGCUCGAUUUCGCUUGCAGCAGUCGCCUUGCAGUCACGCCGUCAUACCGGAGGAAUGGGCCGACGCGGAUGGCGCGCCAGACGGCUCUGGCGGACGGCUGACCUUCUUCGAGGACCCCUCGCUUCUGUUACGGCUCCACACGCAUGGUGUGUCACUCGAAGGAAGCACAGUGGAUGGGAAGCGUGGGGAGAGCGAAGGCAGUGAGCGCGCCUACGGAGACACCAGUCAGCGGCUGAAAGAGUCCUCGUCAGUGGGCGUCGCGCUAGAGACGCAGGUGUCUGUGGUGCCCGUGUGGACACUUCUACAGGCUGCACCUGUUGAGUCGCUGGCAACCAGGGAGCACAGCGGCUCGGACACGGAGACGAGCGGCUCGGACUCGUUCGCCGCGGCGGAUGACUUCCGUGGCGUUCAUAGGUCUGUCCCCUCCAGUGUCGACGAAGACGUGCAGCUGGUCACCUCACUCCAUUACGCUUAUCCGCAGCGGCUCCGCCGCCGCGAGCCGGCACCUUCGCCGGUAAACGCAACGCUCUCGACACCUCCACCUGACUCUGCGCAGCAUGCAUCUUCCUCGACUUUGCCGCAUCCACAACCCUCGGACCACUUACCGCAGGCAAAUGUCACCAACACUGCCGGCGCGAGGCCCAAGAAAGACUCUGUUGCUCUUGCAUGGUGCCAAGUGGAGGCGGUGGUAAGCAUCUGCGGCGACAUUACGGGAACACGACAGAGCAUAAUGGCGACGGCUCUGCAGCGCCAUGCGCUCUCCAAAUCCGCAGAAGCAGAGCUCAUGGCCGCGGAUCGCGAACACGGCAGCGGCGGCGCUUCCGCGCUAUCUGCUGCCGUGCCGCCCGACAGCCUUCCAGCGGAGUGGGAGUACGUUGCUGGUGCUACACAAAAGCUGGCGGAUCUGUGUCGCGAGGUGGUGUGGUGCCAGGAAGCGGCUUUGGCGCUGUUGGAGGGGGCUUCCUGUUUGACUUAGAGACCGUGAAGGGGGAUAGAAUGCGACAGGAAAGCACCGCGCAACCCCCUCACUCGUCCUCGUUCAUGGCAAGCCGGUGUGUGUUAUCCCCAUUACUUGCAAAUUCGAGAUUGUGCUGGAGCCUUCAAAG
rnacentral:misc_RNA from 1 species